CGUAUGAACUCAAAGAUGUUGUGGAGUGCAAAGUAUUCAGCGAGAAGCGUGGGUGGUACUAUCAUCUCAAUUUCACUUUGACUAAAGGAGCUGAUCGUGGCAUCGAAGAUCUAUUCUUUGUCGAAGUCAAAUAUGCGCGACCAGUAAAACAAGAAGAACUGUCGGUCAGCUGCUUCUGCAUGAUUAAACCUACCGAUAAUGGACACUGCUAUGGCUGUACCAACAAUGGAAGUGUCAAUAUGAAGCACCCCAACAGUGCUGAUGAAUACAAUGGUGGUCACUUGAAUGUUGGUAUACCAUUUGGAUGCUAUUCAGAGUGGAGCUACUGGGAUUAUGACGAUCUGGAAGCUAAGAAGAAAGAGCUCAGAGCUGUGUUCACGUGGCGUUGAUGAUCCUGAGGUGAAGGAAGUCUCCACGGUCCCUGCGAAUGCAUUCUUGCCGGAGGGCAGCAGAGAGGAGCUUGUGUAUGAGAGCUGAGAGCUGGACCUAGCACAAGAAGUUGGAGACCCAAGUAGCUUUGCUCUUUCCUGUUUAUACAAGACACAAAGCAAAUAAGGAGAGUCUGUGUUUCUAACGGGUAAAGCCAUGUGCUUGGGAUUGUGAUUCUGAUGAUCCAAAGUAAAGGGCUGGGACUGAAGGCCACGCUGGCAAAUUGGGCAGGAUUUCCUUGCUAGCGCUACAUACUAUGUGUACUCCAGAUCGGUUGUUACUUGCCGCUGCUUGUCGUACGAACCAAAAUAUUGGCUCAACUUCAGCUAUGUCGUGAGCAGAGUGGCGGCGGUACCAGCUCAUACGGCAAGCGCCACCGUGUCAAUUCUAUCGCUCUUCUUCGCUGGCCAUUGGUUUUGUAACCAUGAUGCAGCCAAAUUUUAGCCGCCCUCUGCCAUGCCCCUCUGUAUACUGGCAAGUCCUUUCACUCCAUCAAACUGGUACAAGUACAG